CUAGGAUUUAGGGGUUUUGUGCAAGUCGACGUCAAAUGACUAUUAUUAUUCGAUUAUCAUAGAUUUCGGGAAUAAUGGAAAAUAACUAUUAUGACUACAACGGGUUCGGAAGUGACCACAAACACGACAUUGACUAUGCAGACAUUACUACAACCCCAUCAUAUUUUGAAGCGAAUACUACAUCGCAUGAUGCUGUAAUAUAUGUACCGAAAUUUACAAGUAACAGGUUUUUGGAUGUUGGCGAAUUCAAUAUCAAAAGUGGAUCGAACUACGGAGAACAAAUGGGAAAUACUUCUGGUAAUGACAUUAACUACGUUAGUAAUAUAACGUCAUCUGCUCCGCAUGCAGUAUUUUCUCAUGAACUACACCUUCAGUGGGUUUUGAGUGAAAUUUUUUCAUAUACAUUGCUGUUUCUUAACUGCUACGUGGUGUUUUGUUUUAUUGUCUACCAUAUACGCAAGCGUGGUACGGCGACCCGGAAUUCCUAUUUCUUUUCAAAAAAGAGUGGUGCCCUAUAUUCCAUGGCUUUGAACACAUUAACUAUUUUAUCUGCAAUUAUUACGGCAGUCCGUGUACUGCUUAACCUGGACACAAUAUGGGGCCGGAGCUCCGAAAUGGCAUGUUUGCAUUUGAAAAAACCAAAGAUAUUUGUGGAUUUUUAGUUUACUUAACUGUGUAUAUGAGUUUCUGGGUGCGACAAAGGAUAUUUUACAGCAGCCCCCAGCUGAAUCAUUUGAGCAACAAAGCGACUCGUUUUUUAAGCAAGUGGAUACUGUUAGUGUUGGUUCUGGGUUAUCUUUGCAAACUUGGUUUACUUUAUGGUGGAAGGGGAUUCACAUUACAAACCUCUGCCUCCAAAUGGUUGUUCUGUGUCUUCUGAUGCUAUACCUUGGUACCUUUUGGCUGCUAAUACAGUUAUCAUGCAAUUUACGUUGCUUGCACUUCUAACAUAUCCGAUGUUAAAGCGGAAUAAGGCCAGACAAGGUGGCGAACCUAAUAAUAGGUUGAUAAGACUAGUAAGGAAAGUAUUAAUGGCUGCCAUUUUUGCUGUUGUCUGCUGUAUAUCAUCUCUUUUUAUUAUAUUGUUUAUAUCUACACCGAUAGACGAAAUGUCACUUUUCAUUGUAGAUGUGAAUUUAACUAUUUUAGUUUUUACAGUUGUUAUUAUGUUCUCAGAUUGGCGCGUUAGACUUUUUCCGUUUCGUAAAAAAUUUCGCGGAAAGUCUAACAAGAAAUCUGGCAUCAAGUGAUACCACGAAUACCGCCACCAAGCGUUUGGCUUACUUAAUAUUAUCAUUCGGCUUCACAUUUU